rnacentral:tRNA from 2 species
GGGCCUGUAGCUCAGCUGGUAGAGCGCCACAUUCGCAUUGUGGAGGCCAGGAGUUCGAUUCUCCUCAGGUCCACCA